UACGUAGGGGGCUAGCGUUGUCCGGAAUCAUUGGGCGUAAAGCGCGCGUAGGCGGCCCGGUAAGUCCGCUCUGAAAGUCCAGGGCUCAACCCUGGAAAGCGGGUGGAUACUGCCGGGCUAGAAUCCGGAAGAGGCGAGUGGAAUUCCUGGUGUAGCGGUGAAAUGCGCAGAUAUCAGGAGGAACACCGGUGGCGAAGGCGGAUCUCUGGGCCUGUCCUGACGCUGAGGCGCGAAAGCUAGGGGGAGCGAACAGG
rnacentral:rRNA from 1 species